GAUCAUGGCUCAGGAUGAACGCUAGCGACAGGCUUAACACAUGCAAGUCGAGGGGCAGCGGGGAGUGGCGACACUCUGCCGGCGACCGGCGCACGGGUGCGUAACACGUGUGCAACCUGCCCGUCACCGGGGGAUAACCCGUGGAAACGCGGACUAAAACCCCAUGAGACGAGAAUGGCGCAUGCCAUGAACGUUAAAACGGAGGUGGUGACGGAUGGGCACGCGGGACAUUAGGUAGUUGGCGGGGUAACCGG
rnacentral:rRNA from 1 species